UGGGGAAUAUUUCACAAUGGGGGCAACCCUGAUGCAGCGACGCCGCGUGAACGAAGAAGGUAUUCGUAUCGUAAACUUCUGUCCUAUGGGAAGAUAAUGACAGUACCAUAGAAGAAAGCUCCGGCUAAAUACGUGCCAGCAGCCGCGGUAAUACGUAUGUAGCAAGCGUUGUCCGGAUUUAGUGGGCGUAAAGGGUAUGCAGGCUGUUUGAUAAGUCGAAUGUGAAAGAUCAGGGCUCAACCGCGAAAGGCAUUUGAAACUGAUAGACUUGAGUGGUGGAGAGGGAAGUGGAAUUCCUAGUGUAGUGGUGAAAUACGUAGAUAUUAGGAGGGAUACCAGUAGCGAAGGCGAAUUUCUGGACCCAAACUGACGCUGAGGUACGAAAGCGUGGGGAGCAAACAGG
rnacentral:rRNA from 1 species